CAGAAGAGUUUAGCAAGGAGGAAAGGGAAGAGGUGGAGCUGUUUGAUUUAUAAAAAGCCUUUAAGAGCAAAACAUAGAGACUCAAAAUCAGACACGACAGAAGAACUCACAUCGUCCCUGUCUACUGAAGAAAGUACAGAUUCACAGGAGCAAGAGUUUUAUCAGCAGUGAUGAUGAAGACCCUCCUGUUCUUCACGAUCUGCCUGAUUAAUGGUCAGAUGCUGUUUUUUUUUUCUCCAUACAGUAUCAACCUGUAUGUGACAGCUGUUUUUUACUCUUUACUCGACUGAGAUCAAAUCGUGUCUGUGUUUGUGAAAGAGAGAGAGAGGUUUGAAAUUAUAACAUCUUUAUUUAAUACAAAAUUCUAAGAUUUUCACAUUCCUCACAUGCCAUACAAAACACCUUAUUCGAUUAUACAAUAUUCUCAGCAAAAAACAACACAAUAGAGAGAGAGAGAGAGAGAGAGAGAGAGCACACUUUAUUUGUGCAUUUUAUAAGUUUGCUGUCAGUAUCUGAUCAUAAGGCACUUAUUAAAAGAGGAAGUGAAUUUUGAUUGACAGGUCACAUGAGUGAUGCUGCUGACGCUGUGACUGGCAUCACAGCAGGAAGUGUCAUCAUCAACUGUGUGUAUAAACUUGAAACAUAUAAAGAAAGUGCAAAAAGAUUUUGCAAAAUGUUGGGCAGUGAAUGUACAACCAUGACAGAAGUAAAGAAUGAUUUAUGGAUCCCAGAUGAGAGAUUCUCUGACUGAUAAUAAAUCUCUAGGCUUGAUUAGUGUGCUCAUUAGAAACCUGACCGUAAACGACAGCGGGACGUACAGAUGUGAAGCUGAUGGUGAAUCAUUGCAGGAGGUGAAAUUAGAUGUGAAACAAGAGUCGUGUUGUGCGACAUCAGAAGAACAGACUGCUUAUUUAGGAGGAACUGCUGUCAUCCGCUGUAAAUAUCCAGAGAAAUAUAAAGAUCAUUUAAAGGAAUUGUACAAAGUCCAGCAAUCCGAGAUUUUCUCUGGAUGAAAGCAAACAGGAGCAUGUCUUUACUGUGACUAUUGUGAAUGUGAACAGACAUGAUGAUGGGGUGUAUUUCUGUGGAGCAUAUUUGAUAAUCUAUCCUACAAAGAUCAGCUACAGUCUGUUUUUCACAGAGAUUCAGCUUCAUGUUACAGGUGAGAAACAAUUAACAACAAAUUACACAGUAAAUAUACAUCAGUUAACCAAUGUCAUUUUGAUUCCUGACCUUUCAUUUGUGGACAACAUUGGAAAAGAAAGAGCAAACAGAUGCUUCAGUCCAGCCUGAUUUCUCCAUGAUCAUCAUUAUUAGUGUGUGUGUGAUUCUGCUGCUGAUCGGUGGAUUCACUCUGACUGUGUGGAAACUAAGAUGCGAGAGACGAGAGACGAGGUGACGCUCACUCACAGUUACCCACAAUCCCCUCUGAUGGGCUCCUGUACACUGAUGUCAGUUUCCUGGAGCAUGAACGAAGCAGAUUCAUUAACAAAGAGGUUUACACCAUGGUCAUUUACCACACAAGACUCAACUAGUUCCUUUAUAACAGAUCACAGAUUUUGAAAGAGUGACCUGUCCCAGUUGGUUAGUGCAGCACUUACACACUCACCCCGUCUUACCUUAUUUUCUGUUACCUGCUGAGGUAAUACACACGCCAUUAGCACGCUGGUUUCACACAUGCAAACACAUCCUUUCCAUUUCCAUCUGCCCAGCAAAACAAACACAUACCUGAGUUAAACUGCGGGUUUCGUCUGGCCAGAGGAGGACAUGACUGAGCCUGGUUUCUCCCAAGGUUUUUUUCUCCAUUCUGUCACAGAGGGAGUUUUGGUUCCUUGCCGCUGUCGCCUCUGCAC